rnacentral:lncRNA from 1 species
CAAAGCAUUUAGAGCAAAUCUGACACCAGUAAAAUUGUUCAUCAGGUCAAGAUCUAUCUGCCCUGAAAUUUUCAGAUGAAUCAGACAUUCCGUUGUUGGGUUGCUGCCCUGAAAAUGGUAAUUUUAAGGAAAUUUUGCUGUUUUUGGUUAUUAUCUUGAAUAUAAUUAUAGAUAGAGAUAAACUGUAAACAGCAAUAAUGUUCAGCAAAGUAAGAUUUACAAAUAAG